CAUGGGAUAAGUCAUGCUAAUAGUAGUCAUGUGAAUUUGGUAUUCGUUCGGUAAUUUGAUAUGUUGUAUGUUGUUUUUUCUCUAGUGGUGUUAUGUGAACGUCGACUACAUAACACUUCACCAUUAUUUGGGCCUAGAGGAAUGCAUUGGGGAGUAGUAAGUAGAUGAUGGGUUGCUAGAGUGACAGAAGCUUAAACCCCCGUCUAUGCGUUGCUUUGUAAGGGGCUGAUUUGGAUCCACUAGUUUAAUGCUAUGGUUAGACUUUGUCUUAAUUCUUCUUUCGUAGUUGCGGAUGCUUGCGAGAGGGGUUAAUCAUAAGUGGGAUGCUUGCCCAAGUAAGGGCAGUACCCAAGCGCCGGUCCACCCACAUCUCAAACUAUCAAAGUAACGAACGUGAAUCAUAUGAACAUGAUGAAAACUAGCAUGGCAGAAAUUCCCGUGUGUCCUAGGGAGCGUUUUUCCUCCUAUAAGACUUUGUUCAGGCUUGUCCCUUGCUACAAAAGGGAUUGGGCCACUUUGCUGCACCGUUGCUAUUACUUGUUACUUUUCACCUGCUACGUUUCACCUCACUACACCAUCACUUGUUACUUGUUACUUGUUACUUUUCACUUGCUACGUUUCACUUGCUGAAAACCGUUUAUGAGAGCCUUCUGCUCCUCGUUGGGUUCGACACUCUUACUUAUCGAAAGGACUACGA
rnacentral:lncRNA from 1 species